GUGCUCGCUUUGGCAGCACGUAUACUAAAACUGGAGCGAUACAGGGAAGGUUGGCACCGCCACUGCGCAAGGAUGACACACAAAUUCGUGAAGCAUUAAAAAAAAAA